CCCCUUCGGGGGCAGAGUGACAGGUGUCGCAUGGUUGUCGUCAGCUCGUGUCGUGAGAUGUUGGGUUAAGUCCCGCAACGAGCGCAACCCUUGAUCUUAGUUGCCAGCAUUCAGUUGGGCACUCUAAGGUGACUGCCGGUGACAAACCGGAGGAAGGUGGGGAUGACGUCAAAUCAUCAUGCCCCUUAUGACCUGGGCUACACACGUGCUACAAUGGGCAGAACAAAGGGCAGCGAAGCCGCGAGGCUAAGCCAAUCCCACAAAUCUGUUCUCAGUUCGGAUCGCAGUCUGCAACUCGACUGCGUGAAGCUGGAAUCGCUAGUAAUCGCGGAUCAGCAUGCCGCGGUGAAUACGUUCCCGGGCCUUGUACACACCGCCCGUCACACCACGAGAGUUUGUAACACCCGAAGUCGGUGAGGUAACCUUUUGGAGCCA
rnacentral:rRNA from 1 species